rnacentral:rRNA from 1 species
UACGGAGGGUGCAAGCGUUAUCCGGAUUUACUGGGUUUAAAGGGCGCGUAGGUGGCGCGGGCAGUCAACGGUGAAAGUUCGGGGCUCAACCCUGAAUCGGCCGUCGAUACUCCCGGGCUUGAGCACUGUAGAGGCUAAUGGAAUUCCGGGUGUAGCGGUGGAAUGCGUAGAGAUCCGGAAGAACACCGGUGGCGAAGGCGGUUAGCUGGGCAGUUGCUGACACUGAGGCGCGACAGCGUGGGGAGCAAACAGG